AUUGAACGCUGGCGGCAGGCCUAACACAUGCAAGUCGAGCGGAUGAAGGGAGCUUGCUCCUGGAUUCAGCGGCGGACGGGUGAGUAAUGCCUAGGAAUCUGCCUGUUAGUGGGGGAUAACGUCCGGAAACGGGCGCUAAUACCGCAUACGUCCUGAGGGAGAAAGUGGGGGAUCUUCGGACCUCACGCUAUCAGAUGAGCCUAGGUCGGAUUAGCUAGUUGGUGGGGUAAAGGCCUACCAAGGCGACGAUCCGUAACUGGUCUGAGAGGAUGAUCAGUCACACUGGGACUGAGACACGGUCCAGACUCCUACAGGAGGCAGAAGUGGGGACUAUUGGAAGAUGGGCGAAAGCCUGAUCCAGCCAUGCCGCGUGGGUGAAGAAGGUCUUCGUAUUGUAAAGCACUUUAAGUUGGGAGGAAGGGCAGUAAGUUAAUACCUUGCUGUUUUGACGUUACCAACAGAAUAAGCACCGGCUAACUUCGUG
rnacentral:rRNA from 1 species